rnacentral:rRNA from 1 species
AGAGCGAACGCUGGCGGCAUGCUUAACACAUGCAAGUCGCACGGUCAGCAAUGGCAGUGGCGGACGGGUGAGUAACGCGUAGGUAUCUAUCCACGGGUGGGGGACAACGUCGGGAAACUGACGCUAAUACCGCAUGAUACCCGAGGGUCAAAGGCGCAAGUCGCCUGUGGAGGAGCCUGCGUACGAUUAGCUUGUUGGUGGGGUAAAGGCCUACCAAGGCGACGAUCGUUAGCUGGUCUGAGAGGAUGAUCAGCCACAUUGGGACUGAGACACGGCCCAAACUCCUACGGGAGGCAGCAGUGGGGAAUAUUGGACAAUGGGCGAAAGCCUGAUCCAGCAAUGCCGCGUGUGUGAAGAAGGUCUUCGGAUUGUAAAGCACUUUCGGCGGGGACGAUGAUGACGGUACCCGCAGAAGAGCCCGGCUAACUUCGUGCCAGCAGCCGC